AUGUACAUGCCUACAACAUAUCGUUAAUGCACUCGAUCCCAUUAGAACUCCGCAGUUAAGCACACUCGGGCUAGCGUAGUACUGGGAUGAGUGACCUCCUUGGAAGUCCUAGUGUUUUACAUC
rnacentral:rRNA from 1 species